UAACUAAGUUUUGUGUGCAAUUAUUGUAAGUUUUAUAAUCACGACAUUGCUAACCCUUGCUUCAGUCUACUGUUCUCCCAGCCAAAAAAUCACCACUCAAGAUUUUGCUCAAUUUUUCAUCUCACUAGGGAACAAUUUCAUUGCAGGCGGUGACUUUAAUUCCAAACACCCAGUAUGGGGCUGCCGCUCCACCUCUUCAAGAGGUAAAAUCCUACA